rnacentral:rRNA from 1 species
UUGAACGCUGGCGGCGUGCUUAACACAUGCAAGUCGAUCGGUAACGCGGGGGCAACCCUGGCGACGAGAGGCGGACGGGUGAGGAACGCUUGGGAAUCUGCCCUUCAGCGGGGGACAACCCGGGGAAACCCGGGCUAAUACCGCAUACGCUCCACGGAGGAAAGCCGGGGACCGCAAGGCCUGGCACUGAAGGAUGAGCCCAAGUCGGAUUAGCUAGUUGGCGGGGUAACGGCCCACCAAGGCGACGAUCGAUAGCUGGUCUGAGAGGAUGAUCAGCCACACUGGGACUGAGACACGGCCCAGACUACUACGGGAGGCAGCAGGAGGGAAUAUUGGACAAUGGGCGCAAGCCUGAUCCAGCCAUGCCGCGUGAGUGAAGAAGGCCCUCGGGUUGUAAAGCUCUUUUGUUGGGGAAGAAAAGCAGUCGGUUAAUACCUGAUUGUUCUGACGGUACCCAAAGAAUAAGCACCGGCUAACUUCGU